AUCUACGGCCAGACCACCCUGAAGGCACUUGAUCUCAUCUGAUUUCAGAAGCUAAGCAGGGUUGGGCCUGGUUAGUACAUGGGUGGCAGAAC
rnacentral:rRNA from 1 species